UCAGAUUCACAAAAGAGAAAACAACGCCACACCUUGCUGCUUUUCACUCGAUACCUGUGAGUUUUAGAAAUUAUAUUAACAGAUUACUGCCUUUUUAAAGCCUAUUUAUUUGGAAUCUACCAACCGUGAGCCUGAUCGCUGCUUGACAUCCUCUUAUUCUGCCUCCUUAACUUGUCUAUCUUUGAGUAUCAUUGAGUGACCGCACCCUUCAUGAAAAACUUUAAAGGUCUUAAGGUAAGUUAUUAUCUUAUGGCUUUUCUUCACAGCGUUUGCUGUUAAUGUUUUAAUCAACUAAAUGUUUUGCUUAUUUUAUUUUUUAUUCUCAGUGCCUACAUUUUUUUCAUAAAACCAGUCAGGCCAGUUUCACGGUAUUAAAGGAGUGUCAUUUAGAGCUGAAAUAAUUUUAGUUUCAGGACAGUAUACACUUUCCUCUGAGGGAGUUUAACAUGAGUGGACGAGGAUGAAAUGUGUCGUGUUUCUGGGGGUUCUGACCUUUCUGCAGAGUCUUGCCAGAGGAGUUGUUGCAGAGGAAGGAGGUAUCCUGUGUUUUCAAUGAGAGCUGCAUUUUACAACCGUGCAUCUUUGAGGUUAAUCCCGGGGAUUUGGUGGGUCAUCCACUGGAAUCAGGUUCAACAGGAUACACUCAAGUCCACUCUUUUUAUAACCGCAAAAAUGACCAAUUUGAGUACCAGGACCCACGCUUCAAAGGCAGGACGGCACUGUUCAGGAUCUGAUUUUUGGAGGAAACGUGUCGCUGAAACUGGAAAGAGUGGAGAUUCCAGAUGAAGGCACAUACAGAUGCUACGCCACAUUGAAGGAGGCAGCUCUCAUCAUGAGGCACACAUAAAACUAAAAGUGGACGCUCCAGUUCUUAAAGUGGACAUUCAGCAAGCAGAAAAUAAGACCACCUGCAGCUCAGAGGGAAUCUACCCUGAGCCUCAGCUCACCUGGUCCAUUGACCCCCCGCCCAACGAGAACCCUCCACAACAAAACCACGGUCCCUCAGACUGAGCAGAAGCUGUAUAAUUCAGCAGUUCUCUGAACGUCAAAGUUACUGAUGUGACCUACAACUGCAACCGUCAGCACGCGCAGAAACAAAGAUGGCAGCCACUUUGUUUAAGGCAAAGUAAGUGUUGC